rnacentral:rRNA from 1 species
GACGAACGCUGGCGGCGUGCUUAACACAUGCAAGUCGAACGGAAAGGCCCUGCUUUUGUGGGGUGCUCGAGUGGCGAACGGGUGAGUAACACGUGAGUAACCUGCCCUUGACUUUGGGAUAACUUCAGGAAACUGGGGCUAAUACUGGAUAGGAGCUCCUGCUGCAUGGUGGGGGUUGGAAAGUUUCGGCGGUUGGGGAUGGACUCGCGGCUUAUCAGCUUGUUGGUGGGGUAGUGGCUUACCAAGGCUUUGACGGGUAGCCGGCCUGAGAGGGUAACCGGCCACAUUGGGACUGAGAUACGGCCCAGACUCCUACGGGAGGCAGCAGUGGGGAAUAUUGCACAAUGGGCGGAAGCCUGAUGCAGCAACGCCGCGUGCGGGAUGACGGCCUUCGGGUUGUAAACCGCUUUCGCCUGUGACGAAGCGUGAGUGACGGUAAUGGGUAAAGAAGCACCGGCUAACUACGUGCCAGCAGCCGCGGUGAUACGUAGGGUGCGAGCGUUGUCCGGAUUUAUUGGGCGUAAAGGGCUCGUAGGUGGUUGAUCGCGUCGGAAGUGUAAUCUUGGGGCUUAACCCUGAGCGUGCUUUCGAUACGGGUUGACUUGAGGAAGGUAGGGGAGAAUGGAAUUCCUGGUGGAGCGGUGGAAUGCGCAGAUAUCAGGAGGAACACCAGUGGCGAAGGCGGUUCUCUGGGCCUUUCCUGACGCUGAGGAGCGAAAGCGUGGGGAGCGAACAGGCUUAGAUACCCUGGUAGUCCACGCUGUAAACGGUGGGUACUAGGUGUGGGGUCCAUUCCACGGGUUCCGUGCCGUAGCUAACGCUUUAAGUACCCCGCCUGGGGAGUACGGCCGCAAGGCUAAAACUCAAAGGAAUUGACGGGGCCCCGCACAAGCGGCGGAGCAUGCGGAUUAAUUCGAUGCAACGCGUAGAACCUUACCUGGGUUUGACAUGGAUCGGGAGUGCUCAGAGAUGGGUGUGCCUCUUUUGGGGUCGGUUCACAGGUGGUGCAUGGCUGUCGUCAGCUCGUGUCGUGAGAUGUUGGGUUAAGUCCCGCAACGAGCGCAACCCUUGUUCACUGUUGCCAGCACGUUAUGGUGGGGACUCAGUGGAGACCGCCGGGGUCAACUCGGAGGAAGGUGGGGAUGACGUCAAGUCAUCAUGCCCCUUAUGUCCAGGGCUUCACGCAUGCUACAAUGGCUGGUACAGAGAGUGGCGAGCCUGUGAGGGUGAGCGAAUCUCGGAAAGCCGGUCUCAGUUCGGAUUGGGGUCUGCAACUCGACCUCAUGAAGUCGGAGUCGCUAGUAAUCGCAGAUCAGCAACGCUGCGGUGAAUACGUUCCCGGGGCU